AUUGAACGCUGGCGGCAGGCCUAACACAUGCAAGUCGAGCGAGCGGCGGACGGGUGAGUAAUGUAUGGGGACUGCCCGAUAGAGGGGGAUAACUACUGGAAACGGUGGCUAAUACCGCAUACUAUCGGAUAACCCAUAUGGGAUUAGCUAGUAGGUGGGGUAAAGGCUCACCUAGGCGACGAUCUCUCGCUGGUCUGAGAGGAUGAUCAGCCACACUGGGACGGAGACACGGCCCAGACGCCUACGGAGGCAGCAGUAGGGAAUCUUCGGCAAUGGACGAAAGUCUGACCGAGCAACGCCGCGUGGGGGAUGAAGGCUUUCGGGUUGUAAACCUCUUUCGCUAUCGAACGGGUAGGUGGAGAAGAAGCGCCGGCUAACUACGUGCCAGCAGCCGCGGUAAUAC
rnacentral:rRNA from 1 species